GUGUAGUGAUGAAGGUCUUCGGAUCGUAAAGCUCUGUUAUAAGGGAAGAACCGGUGCCGUGCGAAUAGAGCGGCACCUUGACGGUACCUUAUCAGAAAGCCCCGGCUAACUACGUGCCAGCAGCCGCGGUAACACGUAGGGGGCAAGCGUUGUCCGGAAUUAUUGGGCGUAAAGGGCACGCAGGCGGCUUCUUAAGUCUGAUGUGAAAGCCCGUGGCUCAACCACGGAAUCGCAUUGGAAACUGAGGAGCUUGAGUGCAGGAGAGGAGAGCGGAAUUCCACGUGUAGCGGUGAAAUGCGUAGAUAUGUGGAGGAACACCAGUGGCGAAGGCGGCUCUCUGGCCUGUAACUGACGCUGAGGUGCGAAAGCGUGGGGAGCGAACAGGAUUAGAUACCCUGGUAGUCCACGCCGUAAACGUUGAGUGCUAGGUGUUAGGGGUUUCGAUACCCUUAGUGCCGAAGUCAACACAUUAAGCACUCCGCCUGGGGAGUACGACCGCAAGGUUGAAACUCAAAGGAAUUGACGGGGGCCCGCACAAGCGGUGGAGCAUGUGGUUUAAUUCGAUGCAACGCGAAGAACCUUACCAGGUCUUGACAUCUUCUGACCGCUUUGGAGACAAAGCUUUCCCUUCGGGGACAGAAUGACAGGUGGUGCAUGGUUGUCGUCAGCUCGUGUCGUGAGAUGUUGGGUUAAGUCCCGCAACGAGCGCAACCCCUAAACUUAGUUGCCAGCAUUCAGUUGGGCACUCUAGGUUGACUGCCGGUGACAAACCGGAGGAAGGUGGGGAUGACGUCAAAUCAUCAUGCCCCUUAUGACCUGGGCUACACACGUGCUACAAUGGACGGUACAGAGGGUUGCAAGACCGCGAGGUCAAGCCAAUCCCAAAAAGCCGUUCUCAGUUCGGAUUGUUCUCUGCAACUCGAGAGCAUGAAGCCCGGAAUCGCUAGUAAUCGCGGAUCA
rnacentral:rRNA from 1 species